GUGGGGAAUAUUGGACAAUGGGCGAAAGCCUGAUCCAGCCAUGCCGCGUGUGUGAAGAAGAUCUUCGGAUUGUAAAGCACUUUAAGUUGGGAGGAAGGGCAGUAAGUUAAUACCUUGCUGUUUUGACGUUACCGACAGAAUAAGCACCGGCUAACUUCGUGCCAGCAGCCGCGGUAAUACGAAGGGUGCAAGCGUUAAUCGGAAUUACUGGGCGUAAAGCGCGCGCAGGCGGUUAUAUAAGACAGAUGUGAAAUCCCCGGGCUCAACCUGGGAACUGCAUUAGUGACUGUAUAGCUAGAGUGCGGCAGAGGGGGAUGGAAUUCCGCGUGUAGCAGUGAAAUGCGUAGAUAUAGGAAGGAACACCAGUGGCGAAGGCGACUACCUGGACUGAUACUGACACUGAGGUGCGAAAGCGUGGGGAGCAAACAGGAUUAGAAACCCCUGUAGUCC
rnacentral:rRNA from 1 species